rnacentral:misc_RNA from 1 species
GUUUAUAUUAAUAUUAAAGAGUUAUUAAAGUAAUUAUCAAUUCAUAUAUAUGGAAGUAUACAUUUUCGAUUGUUAUAACCUUAGACGAAUGAAUAAAAAUUAUUACUAUUAUUUACAAUUUUUUAUUAUCUGUAUUAAAUUAUUAAAUAAAUAACAAUGGCGCAGCAAACGUAUAUUUCUUGCAUAAAAAUUAAUGGUGUUCCUAUUCUUCCACCGAUGAUAACUGAAGAUGUUAGAAAAGAAGUAAAAUAUUAUAAAUAUUUAGCAAUUCAAGUAGAAAAAAGAUUAAAAGCUUUGUAUGAUAGAAAAUUUAGCGAAGAAAGUCAAUUCGUAGAAAAUGAUACAAAAGUACAGCAAAUUGAUCAGAAAUUUCAUUUUGGUAAUGAAAAUGUAAUUCCUAAUGCAGAGCCUAAUAUCAAUGAAGAUCAAUUACCUAUAAAAAACACAUAUGAUGUUACAACAAAUGAAAAUAUAGAUAUAAAUGUUCACGAACAAAGUAGUCAUUCAGAAUUAGUACAAGAAAUAUCUUCGAAUCAAAAUUGUGAAACUAAUUCCACAGAAGGGCAUUCAUUGAGUCCAACAUCAACCGUUGUAAGCAUCGAUUCAAUAGAAAGUCAUAUUGAUACAACUAAAUCAAAAGUCGAGCACAAAAUGUUAGAUAAUUGGAAACCUGAAGUGCCUAAAACAUUAGAUAUUGUCCCUAUUACAUUGAAUGAUUCAAAUCCAUAUCAAAAAGAAGAAUUUUCAGUGAUAAAUGAAACAAAUACUAUUAAGCAAACACCAAAAUUAGUGCGUCAAGAUUCUUAUAUUUUGGACACCCCAAGUCCUAUGUUGCUUGCACAUAUGCAAAUAGAAUUAAAUAAUAUCAAUGAUCUUCCUACUGCAGAUUAUAUCCCUACACCUGCAAAAAGUAGUGUGCGACGAAAAGAAUGGAAUAUUGCACAUACUAAAACUGAUUGGAUAAGUGAAUUGAAAAAUAAUGAAUUUAAUGCCAUGGACACUCAGCAGACAUUUAAAAAUUCAAAAUGUAAAAGAAAGAGUUUAUCUAGCAAAAGUAAUUAUAAUUUAUAUAAGACUGAAAGUGAACAAACAAUAUUAGAACCACAAACUCGUACGUAUCAAACUACAGGAUCAGUAGAUAGUAUUCAAAUGAUGCUUGAGAAAGAAAAUAUUUACAAGCCUGACAUAAAAAAUAAUAAUAAAAAGAAAUAUAGUAUAAGCAAUAAUGACAAAGAAAAUCAUAGGCCACAAGAAUGGAAGGAAAGUAAAAACAUUUCAGUGUUAAAUACGACUAACAAACUAGGAGGUUCACUAGGAAAUCUACAUGAUGUUGAAACACAAAUACACAAGAUUAAUGAAUCACAAAUAUUAAGGACAUAUGGACAAAAUGAAAGUUUUGAAGAAGAAAACACAAAUAAUGAUAAGAUAAAUGAAUCAAUAGGAAAAUCUAAGUCUCCAAAUAUAUCUGAGAAAUUAUUGACUAUCUUAAAAGAAAUAGAAGAAGUACAUAAAAGACAGAUGUCCGAAUUAGUCAUUCGGCAACAACAAGAGCAAUCUUCAUUGCAGAAAGAAUUUGAAAAGCAACAAUUAUUUUUAUUAGCAGAAAUAAAGAAAUCCUUUCCUGAAAUUUCUUCGUUAAUAGAUGACAAAUAUUUGUCAUCUACUACAAUGGAUCAAGCUGAGUCAAUAAAUAAUUCUAUUUCUAAAGACAUUCCCAUAAAUAAAACGAAACAAGAUAAAGAUUUAGAAGAAUUGUCUGUCGUUCCAAAAGACGAUAUAUUAUUGUCACCAAAUAAACGUACGUUAAGUCCUAUAUGUCCAGUGAAUUAUAUUUAUUCCCAAAAUGAUUUUAACGAUACCAAACAACAUUUGAAGUGUUAUAAAUUCAUUCAAUCAUCGCAAAGAGAAUCCAAUGAAACUUCAACGCAAGAAUACAAUUGUACAUUGAUAAAAAAUAAAGAAAUACAAGAAAAUACGAAUAAGAAUGAAAUGCGUGAUUAUAAUAUAAGCGUAAUAAAUGAGAAUAAAAAGUCUACAAUUAGCCGUCGAUUAUUUCCAUUAGACUGUAAAACCGUACAUGUUCCCAUUAUUGACAGUUCUAUGUACGCAGAGAAACACAUACAAGCUGCAUCUAUUAUCAAUGCAUAUGCACGGGGGUAUUUAGUGCGCAGGUUAUUUAAAACAGAUCGUGUGAUUACUUUAAAAAAUACAUACAAAGAAGCAUUGCAAUGUAUGCUUAAACUACAUGUUGAUGCACCUCUUGAUUUAUCAGAACUGCAUUUUUUACGUCGUUUACAAUUACAGGAUGAAAGAUUACAAAUCACCAAAUAUAACUCAAUUACACUCAUCUAGAGUUAGAUGUCAAACUUGGACUUCUGAAAUUUCACAGCAUCUUAUAUCGCCAAAUACGCAUCACACUAUUAAAAGAAGUACUAGUGCAGGAACAGUUAGGAAACCAUGGAGAUGA